rnacentral:lncRNA from 1 species
AACAAAAUGCUGCUGAUUCGAUGUCGGGUGCCCAAUACACAUUUCCCUUUCAUGGUUGUGUUAAUAUGUCCGUCUUUUAGCCUAUCAAUCUUCGGAUUCUUUUUCCUGGUGUUGUUAAAAUAUCCCAUGAUUCCCAUACUUUCUAUAUACAUCCAUUAUCCGGUCCAAUAUAUAUACUAGUAUCUUCUUUCCUUUCCUGUUUCUAUCUAGAUUUAUAAGAUCAAUAUUUGUGAAAGGAACUAUUUCAAUCAAAGAGAUGACAGAUGCAUGAGAACCUCAGACUGCUGUUUAACAUUACAAUAAAACAACAUAAAACACC